rnacentral:lncRNA from 1 species
UGGCAAAUAGCAAGUGGUGGAUAGGUGUCAGAUAUUUUCAUUCGAUAUUCAUUUUCAUACAUACAGGUGUUUUAUUCAUCCAACAGAAAAAAACUAUGUUAGAUAUCACCAGAAUGUGCAUCCCAGGAUCUUCAAAAAGCCAGACAAGAGGAAGGAAUUAGGAAUAGCUAUUUGAACUGACUGACACUUAAUCUGCCAUGUGGCCCCUGCCGCCUUCUUUCAUCUAAGGGGAGAAGGACCUGGAAGUGAGCUGACACCUUCCAAUGCAACCCAGAUCUGGAAGCUGGCAGAGGAGAGGCCGAGACCCAGGUGGU